rnacentral:sRNA from 1 species
CAAAAACUACACACUAGUAAUCAUCUCUUUUAUAGUGACCAUAUAUUUCAGGCCCUGCUAUUAAAACAUUUUCCCUUCUAGGUCCUACAACGUGACUUUAAAAAGACAGCAGAAAGCAAAAAUGUCCCAUUGGAACAAGAAGCCACUAGUAAAAGAAGCAGAAUCUGGUAAUAUAAGUCAAAAGUCUGAUGAAGAAGAUUUUGUAAAAGUUGAAGAUUUACCACUGAAACUGACAAUAUAUUCAGAGGCAGAUCUAAGGAAGAAAAUGGUAGAAGAAGAACAGAAAAACCAUUUAUCUGGUGAAAUAUGUGAAAU